AAAGGUGUAACUCAUUGGUAGAGCGUGUGCUUAGCAUGCGCAAGGUCCUGGGUUCAAUCCCCAGUACCUCCA
rnacentral:tRNA from 1 species